UUGGCAAAACUGGAUGUCAUGAAGUAAACCCCAAGCUUUCAGCACGAGGCUUACGAGGGGGGGAAUGUUGCGUGGUGCACUAAUUAUGCACUCUGCCCACUAACUACGCAUAUGAUUACAAGACGUCAUCUCAUUUUUGGCAAUCUGGUACUCGACUAGCUGAGCAUCUGUCAUAGGCAAUCAGCGAUGACUCUGUCCUUUUGCAGAUGAAUCUACAUGUGAAUGGUCGUCAACCAUUGCUAGUAGGAAGUAUUUUUUUAAUAUUGCCAAACAAAUUGAGAGAAGUGCGCCAGACUAAGCCCCAGCCAAACACAAAUAUUUUAGUGUUGUCACCAAUUGAAAUAAAAUCAGUUUUGGAUCACUCAAAAUAA